UACAGAGGUCUCAAGCGUUGUUCGGAUUCAUUGGGCGUAAAGGGUGCGUAGGCGGCGCGGUAAGUCGGGUGUGAAAUCUUGGAGCUUAACUCCGAAACUGCAUUCGAUACUGCCGUGCUUGAGGACUGGAGAGGAGACUGGAAUUCAUGGUGUAGCAGUGAAAUGACGUAGAGAUCAUGAGGAAGACCAGUGGCGAAGGCGGGUCUCUGGACAGUUCCUGACACUGAGACACGAAGGCCAGGGGAGCAAACGGGG
rnacentral:rRNA from 1 species